rnacentral:rRNA from 1 species
GAUGAACGCUGGCGGCGUGCCUAAUACAUGCAAGUCGAGCGAACGGACGAGAAGCUUGCUUCUCUGAUGUUAGCGGCGGACGGGUGAGUAACACGUGGAUAACCUACCUAUAAGACUGGGAUAACUUCGGGAAACCGGAGCUAAUACCGGAUAAUAUUUUGAACCGCAUGGUUCAAAAGUGAAAGACGGUCUUGCUGUCACUUAUAGAUGGAUCCGCGCUGCAUUAGCUAGUUGGUAAGGUAACGGCUUACCAAGGCAACGAUGCAUAGCCGACCUGAACGGGUGAUCGGCCACACUGGAACUGAGACACGGUCCAGACUCCUACGGGAGGCAGCAGUAGGGAAUCUUACGCAAUGGGCGAAAGCCUGACGGAGCAACGCCGCGUGAGUGAUGAAGGUCUUCGGAUCGUAAAACUCUGUUAUUAGGGAAGAACAUAUGUGUAAGUAACUGUGCACAUCUUGACGGUACCUAAUCAGAAAGCCACGGCUAACUACGUG